GGAAAACUUACCAGGUCCAGACAUAGAGAGGAUUGACAGAUUGAGAGCUCUUUCUUGAUUCUAUGGGAGGUGGUGCAUGGCCGUUCUUAGUUGGUGGAGUGAUUUGUCUGGUUAAUUCCGUUAACGAACGAGACCCCCGCCUGCUAAAUAGGUCCGUGAAUGAAUUUCAUUGACGAGAUCUUCUUAGAGGGACUUUUGGUGACUAACCAAAGGAAGUUGGGGGCAAUAA
rnacentral:rRNA from 1 species